rnacentral:rRNA from 1 species
UACGUAGGGGGCAAGCGUUGUCCGGAUUUAUUGGGCGUAAAGAGCGUGUAGGCGGCCACACAGGUCUGCUGUGAAAACUCGAGGCUCAACCUCGAGCUGUCGGUGGAAACCGUGUGGCUAGAGUCCGGAAGAGGAGAGUGGAAUUCCCGGUGUAGCGGUGAAAUGCGCAGAUAUCGGGAAGAACACCCGUGGCGAAGGCGGCGACCUGGUCCUUGACUGACGCUGAGGUGCGACAGCGUGGGGAGCAAACAGG